GCCUGGGUAGCUCAGUCAGUUAAGCAUCUGACUUCGUUUGGCUCAGGUCAUGAUCUCACAGCUCAUGAGUUCAAGUCCCGUCUUGGGCU
rnacentral:tRNA from 1 species